rnacentral:rRNA from 1 species
GAUGAACGCUGGCGGCGUGCCUAAUACAUGCAAGUCGAGCGAACGGACGAGAAGCUUGCUUCUCUGAUGUUAGCGGCGGACGGGUGAGUAACACGUGGAUAACCUACCUAUAAGACUGGGAUAACUUCGGGAAACCGUAGCUAAUACCGGAUAAUAUUUUGAACCGCAUGGUUCAAAAGUGAAAGACGGUCUUGCUGUCACUUAUAGAUGGAUCCGCGCUGCAUUAGCUAGUUGGUAAGGUAACGGCUUACCAAGGCAACGAUGCAUAGCCGACCUGAGAGGGUGGUCGGCCGCACUGGAACUUGGACACGGUCCAGACUCCUACGGGAGGCAGCAGUAGGGAAUGUUCCGCAGUGGGCGAAAGCCUGGCGGAACAGCGCCGCGUGUGUUAUGAAGGUCUUCGGAUCGUAAAACUCUGUUAUUGGGGAAGAACAUAUGUGUAAGUAACUGUGCACAUCUUGACGGUACCUGAUCAGAAAGCCACGGCUAACUACGUG